rnacentral:lncRNA from 1 species
GCGUCUCCACUUUCACCCUGGUACUGAGAGGUUGAGCACAAAAUUGGAACGCAGUCGCGGGGUAUAUCCCCCUGAAAACCGUACGUUGCCAAAUAAUGAUUUCUUUGGAUUAGAGAACUACAACUCCCCUGGGUCCUGAGCCGGUAUUUCCCUUUUGCGGCUGCACCGUAGUUAAAAACAAAGCUAAGUGUUCUGGGACGUAUAGUUCUAGCGUUCCUUGGGUCCCGCUGGCGAGCGUGGGCUUUCUGCAGCUCGCAACCGGCCUCGUGCUUUGCGGACGGUUCACUGCGCUUGGAAAGGGAUUGGCCUGGGGUACAUCAUCUAAAGAUCCUAGGAUUGCUGCAGGUCAGCAGUCUCCACUGGAAAAAAAGAUCUUGCAUGUAUUUCAAGUCCUCUGAUGAAUCAUGUGAUCUACUAGACCCUGAAGAUACAGUGAAGAGCAAAAGAACACAGAUGAAAUGAGAAACAAAAACGAUGGAGAAAACCAAAAAAGGGGACACAUGGGAUCCAGGCAAUAGGAGAGCCAGCAUAAGAGAGAGCCAGAGGGAUGCCCAGGAUGAGGUGAAGACGAUCUUGGAAAUCAGCCCAGAUGUGCAUGCACCAGUCCACGUGUGGCAGGACCAAGGGAAGUGUCUUCACAAAGAUGAGGCUUUGAUUUGUUGGAGAAACUGUUACCAGAAAAACAGGUCCCGAUCCCGACCCCAAAAGAGUAUUCUUGGAUCUUGCACAGGAAGGAAUUAAAGGAAUCUUCUCCUUUAAUUAACCCAUCAACCUCUCAUGGCAAGAAUUUGAAAAAGUAAAUUUAUACUCAGAUUCUAAUUUUAAUAGGGAAGUAAGAAGUUACAGCUCAGUGCACAUAAAGUUGAGACAGAGAUGGAGACAUCUCAGCCUCACCUCUAUGGAGCAGGAAUGAUUAAUUAUUGGAGACGGAACACAGCAGAAACCACAGCUCCAGUGACUACAGCUCCAAGGAGAACCAGGCCAGCAACGAUACCCACGAUGGGGAUGGUGGGCUGAGAAGACUGCUCUGGGAAAAAAGGGGAAGAAGGCACCACCACAGCUGCCCACUUCUGGAAGGUUCCAUCCCCUGCAGGCCUGGUCUCUAGAAGCUCCAUGUCCCGAGUCUGGUCCUCUCCAUCCUGCUGCCAGGAUCUGGAAACCCAGGAGGAUUCCUCUCCCUCAGGACCAGAGAGAGGACGACAUUCUAGUGUUGGUCCCAUUUUCCUUCUCUCUUUGUGGGAAGCCAGCCCAGGAGAUCUACAGGCGAUCAGGGAGGCGUCUUGUGUUCCCUGGUACCCGUGAGCUGCAGCGUCUCCUUCCCGUUCUCCAGGUGUCUGCGAGCCUCUCCACGCACGUGCCCUCCAGUGGUCCUGCUCCUGUGAGUCAGAGUGUGUCAUUUCCUCACCUAAAACACUCCAGUGGCUCCACCUCGGUCUUGUGAAGCUUCUAGAAUGUCAGGCACGUGAGCAUAUGAGGGCAUACCUGGUUCAUCUUAGGCACUAAAUUUUUGUUGACUGAAUGAAUGAAAUAUGAAUGUAUUAAAUUGCAUCACAGAAAGUUAUAAAAUGUAAAACACUGAAAAAUUAAGAAAUAUUUUAUUUUAUGU